AUUGAACGCUGGCGGCAGGCCUAACACAUGCAAGUCGAACGGUAACAGGAAGAAGCUUGCUUCUUUGCUGACGAGUGGCGGACGGGUGAGUAAUGUCUGGGAAACUGCCUGAUGGAGGGGGAUAACUACUGGAAACGGUAGCUAAUACCGCAUAACGUCGCAAGACCAAAGAGGGGGACCUUCGGGCCUCUUGCCAUCGGAUGUGCCCAGAUGGGAUUAGCUAGUAGGUGGGGUAACGGCUCACCUAGGCGACGAUCCCUAGCUGGUCUGAGAGGAUGACCAGCCACACUGGAACUGAGACACGGUCCAGACUCCUACGGGAGGCAGCAGUGGGGAAUAUUGCACAAUGGGCGCAAGCCUGAUGCAGCCAUGCCGCGUGUAUGCAGAAGGCCUUCGGGUUGUAAAGUACUUUCAGCGGGGAGGAAGGGAGUAAAGUUAAUACCUUUGCUCAUUGACGUUACCCGCAGAAGAAGCACCGGCUAACUCCGUG
rnacentral:rRNA from 1 species